AAAACAGUUAUUAGAGUUAUAGCCUCCAGACGAUAGGUGUCAGUAUAACGAUGCAACCCCCUAUGUUGAAGCGUGCCAUCAGUAGAAGAAGUGAGGUAUUUCCUCUUGGGUUUUGGUGUGGUUGAUGGGCUAAAUGAAACCGACUAGAUAAAACAACGACAGCAAAGGUGCUCCAGAGGGCUCGACACUAGCAGUGAAGAUUUCCAUACCUAGCCUGAUGAUGGAGAGGGGAAAGUCAAAACUGCAAAAUAUCCUGGAGGAUGGCCUGGGCAGAGAUUUAAUGAACGCUGGGCGGUUUUGCUUCAGCUGUGAGCAGAUAUUUGCAAAUCGAAAAUGCCUGGAGGAACACUUUUGUUCUGCUGCAAGUCAUAUUUGCUCCUGUGGCACAGAGUUUGCUGAAUACAAAGAAAUGCUGGACCACAGCACAACACAUGAGCCAGGUUACCAAGUUCUUGAUCAUGGAACAAUAAAGAAACGCAGAAUUGAGAAACGCAUAGCAGAGGAGCAGCAGCUGAAAAGAAUACAGACUGGUGAGGUUGUCUGGAACGCACCUUCACUAAACAAUGUGCCAUCCAUUUCUCAUCCGGGGACACCUUCGCAGAAAGUACCCAUGACAUCAGCACUAAUGCCACAAGUUCCCACACAGUCUGCACAGAUUUCACAAGCGCCUCCAUUGUACAGCUCUCUGUCACAAACACCUGUUCUCAUUAAACCCAGUGAGAAAGACGUGCAAAACAUUUUUGCAGGUGUAGGUGCACCAACUGUAGAUCUUUGGACACUUUACCAACCUGUUGUGUUGUUGCAAACACUGCGCAAAUUCAACAAGACAAAUCCUUACACAUGCUCUAAAUGUGGGCAAUGUUUUGAGAGAACGACAUCUCUCAUCUCCCACCACAGCUCUCAUGUCACAGAUAAAAUCUCUGGCUGUAUUGGAUGCGGGCUGCUGCUCUCCAGCAAGAAAGUAGUGCCUCGCUUUCACGUUUGUAAGGCACCCAACACUGCCACCAAAUUCAGACUCAUCACUGCAACACCGUUGAAUUUUAUGAAGCCAACCGCUGCCAGUACAGGCAGUACUCCAAGUCUUGAGGGGCCUUGGGCCACUUCUUCUCGACAGCUGAAAAGUCAAAAUCCCAUUGCAGCAAGGAAAUGCAGUCAAACUCCUGCUGUGAUUUCCCCCGUGCAGCUGAAAAAACAGAAAAUCAGUGCACACAUUAAAAGCAAUCGGGGGCUUAAUGUCUCGCCGCACCUGGUACCAAAGGGUCCCAGCUCCUUCAGUCCUUUUAUCACUUCCCCUUUACUAUUGAAGACUCCUAAUCCCAGUGCAUACAAAAACAGCAAACGAGGGCUUACUGUCUCUCAGUUGCUGCAGCUGAAGAUGCCCACACAAUCUGCUUCAGGUGUAUCAAGCAAUCCAAUGCAAACAUCCUCAGCAUCAAAUGGUUUUGCAUGUAGAGUCUGUCAUCUUCCCUUUGAUUCGGCUCAUCUGCUACAGAGGCACAAGUGUGCCAAAGCAAAGGAGUUUAUGGCACAGCAUGUGCGAGGUGGAAAACAUUUCAGACUAAAGAGAGUGACGCACCCAAUUCCUCUUUUGAUGAAAGGAGAGCGAAAACUUGGGGUUCCAGCUUAUGGUAACCUAAAGACCAACCAAGUCAUGCCUGGUAUUCCAAACAAAGAGCAAGGGGCAGCUCCAGUGGGUGGGAAAACAGGAGGCGAUAUGGACGAUGAUUGUUUCAUUGUUGAAAGUGGACCAGACAAACCUGCUGAGAUGAUAUAUCAAGUAACCUCAUCCGUUCCUAUCACGAGUUGACAAAAUUAGAACUGUAACCCCAAUUUGCAUGUCACAUUUAUGGACCAAGUGCUUAAAGUAAGUUCUUUUUAAAACAAAAUUUAAUUUUUGAAGUCAACUGCACAGGAACAGUAUUCGUUCUGGUUUUCUCCACAAUAAUUUAAAGGAAUGUAAGGUGACAACAUUCAUGUAUCUUAUUAAAACUGGGUUUAUUUUGCCUGGACUGUAAACAAUCAGUGCCCCUGAAAUUGUAAUAGAAAUUGUUUGUCAUACUAUUCUGAAAAUGUAGGACCAUGGCUUACCCAGGUUUGGUGGGAUAACCAGGAUCUCUAUUAGUUUUUUUUUUUUAUAUAUAUUUUUUGUAUGAUAAACGUAUUGUGAGGCUGUGGGAAUUGAACGCAAUAAGAGGAAGUAUGUGUUCCUACCAACUUUGUCAGACUUUGAAAGGUAUAUGUUGUAUUAAAGUGUAUUUUCCAACUGAGUGUUUUCAUCAUAGGCUAUUGCAGCAUGUAAUAAUAUCGAUGUUAUUCACAUGAAAAAUGAACUGAAUGUACAGAGAUUUUUACUGUCUGACUAAUGGAAACACUACAACAGUGCAAAUAAUUCAAUUGAUGGCAGUAUGUAAUAUGUAAUACUAAACAAGUGUGUGCAAUUUAUUGUGCCUGAUAAGAACCUUAAGAUCAAGUACAACAUUGACAGAGCAUCAUUAAAAUAAGUCAUAAUCAAUCUUUAAAUGAAGAUAUAUAAAUUAAAAUCAUAAAAAUGGUUGGCAACAAGG